CUGCUUGCUUUGGCAGCAGAUAUGUGAAAACUGAAAUGACACAGAGAAGAUUAGCAUUGCCCUGCACAAAGAUGACACAAAUUUGUGAAGAACAGAAACGGGUAUUG
ensembl:snRNA U6 U6 spliceosomal RNA